UACGGGGGGGGGCAAGCGUUGUUCGGAAUUACUGGGCGUAAAGGGCUCGUAGGCGGCCAACUAAGUCAUACGUGAAAUCCCUCGGCUUAACCGGGGAACUGCGUCUGAUACUGGAUGGCUUGAGAUUGGGAGAGGGAUGCGGAAUUCCAGGUGUAGCGGUGAAAUGCGUAGAUAUCUGGAGGAACACCGGUGGCGAAGGCGGCAUCCUGGACCAAAUCUGACGCUGAGGAGCGAAAGCCAGGGGAGCAAACGGG
rnacentral:rRNA from 1 species